CCAAGGUGCUGAAAAGUAAGUUCAGAUCCAAGAAAUACUUUGCCAAACAUCCUCGCUUGGGUUAUUUACCAGUACAAACAGUUCUAGAAGGCGAGAACUUUGAGACGACACAAUCAUCGCCUUGGAAGCUUCAUCACGAUACUACUUUGCAUUUCUGAAGAGGGAAGAAGAAAUCAAUAUGCAAAUUCAAUUCCAUGGUUUUGGAAGUCCCAUUGAGAACACGAUUCAUUUGCGCCGGCAUAAUGCUCUGACCGAGAAAGAAUUGAAGAGCCAGGACUGAGGGAAUCCUGCAUCGUUACGGUGUCAUCGUUGAGGGAGUGCUGCACUGUUGAAGGGCCGAUAGUAAGGGAGUGUGACACUGUCAGAGUGUCAUUACCAAAGGUGGGCUACAGUAUCAAAGGGUGAGUAAUGAGGGAAUGCUGCGCUGUCGGAGGGUCAGCACUGAGGUGGGCUGUACUGUCAGAUCGUCAAUAUAAAUAAUAAUGUUAGGGGAGUGCUGCAUUGU